rnacentral:lncRNA from 1 species
UCAGGGCUCAUGACCACACCUGAAGCAGCAGUGUGAUGGAGGCAGCAAAAUGUGUGGAACCGUCAUUAUGAAGAAGGCAAUGCUCUCCUGCACCAGGGAGCUCUUCACCCCACAACUACAGAGCUCCUGUCUUCCAAGGUUCCCGAACUGUUCUGGGAAGUGCUCCUAAUCACCUGAGGUUUACAUACAAACAACCCCAGGACAUUUCAUUUAGCUACCAAUGUCAUGAUUACCAAAAAUUAAUUAACAAUAUGGUGGUCGUCAUCACAUCUGAGUCACCAAAUCAAAAUUCAGGACACAUUUCCAUGCAAAGUGCAGCCUUCUUCUUACGUUUCAUAAUUGUCAUUUCAAAUGAGAUCUUGGUUGGAAACAAUUGCUUAACUGUUUCAAGGUAUACUGGGUUAUCACUAACUCAUUUCUGUAAAGCAGAAUACAAGACCUCAACCUGUUAGAGAUCCUUUGUUGAUUAACAAGCUGAUUAAUAAGCUGAUUGUUCUCCUGAUUUAAGGCCUAUACCAAAAUUCUUGAAGCUCAAUUUGCACCACAGAGUACGCCAAUAUGUUUGAGUGAACUGGCUCUGGCUCUCCGAAGCUGUUUUGUAAAGACAAGAGACUAUAAGCCAUGGUGAGUAGUUAUACAUGAAGAACCUCAAUUAAUGCCUUACAUAUGGCAUGAGGAGACUAGAAAUUUUCUUGUUAAUGGGGCAGGGGUAUAAUAAUAAAUAUCUUGGCAAAUGAGAAGGGUCAAACUGUUUAUGGUUAAGAACACAAAUUUUGAGCCAAAAUACAUGGAUUUGAAUCCCUGCUAUACCCCAUUAUUAGCUAUGUGACUUCAGGCAAGUUAUUUAAGGUUGCUGUGCCACAUUUCCAUCCACCUGUAAAAUGGGGAUAAUAUUUAUAGAAGUUAAAAACUAGCUAGCACUUGUUAAAGUGUUAUCUAACACAUUUAUGAAGAAAUCAGCAGAAAGAUAAAGUAGCUGGAAAGGAAGAUUUAAGUCGAAUUGCAAAUUGCAUGUAGUGUUCACUAGGUUAACUUUCAACAGAGCUAUAAAACCAUAUCACCUUUAGAGUUAAUAUAUCUCCAUGGCUAUCAAAUUAUAAAAACUCUUUAAUUUCUGCACGUCAAUCUCUUGACCUCAAAGGACCAUAAACCAUCCACACACUUUUCAGUUGUUGAUUGUUAGCCAAGCAAAGUUACAUUCUCAGCAUGUGUCAGAUGAUGCUCAAAUGGGCUUAUUGGAAAAUGACCUAGCAUGACAUUUUAAAAAUCAAGCAAUAAUCAUUUAUCUCAUCUCUAAAUUUAGGAUAAAUAUUUUUAGUAGCCUUGCCAUGAUUUUCAUGCCAAUUUAUAUUUGUAAAGCACUUUGAAAAGUGUCUGGCACAAGGUUAAGUAAAAUACUCAGUAAUUAGGCAGUAGUAAAAAGAUAUGGCCUAUAGAAUCUGUACUAUUUUAAAAGAGCUUACGUCAUUUGUCUGAAAUAAUUUUUAAGGAUGCCACAGGAAUGGUUUGGUUGUAGACCCCACUCCAUAAAUCAAGUUUCCCUGAGGGAAAAAAUUAAGCAACAGAAUAGAAGACAGAAAUAGAGAAAAGAACUACUCAAAACGAAUUUGAAUGCCGUAAUAGGAUAAUCAUUUAUAUUUGGAGACAAAAAUGCUAAGAGUUAUAUUAGAAUAUUCCAGAGAGACAGA